rnacentral:rRNA from 1 species
UACAGAGGAUGCAAGCGUUAUCCGGAAUGAUUGGGCGUAAAGCGUCCGCAGGUGGUUUUGUAAGUCUGCUGUUAAAGCGUCGUGCUUAACACGAUAAGGGCAGUGGAAACUAUGAGACUAGAGUAUGUUAGGGGUAGAGGGAAUUCCCAGUGUAGCGGUGAAAUGCGUAGAGAUUGGGAAGAACACCGGUGGCGAAAGCGCUCUGCUAGGACAAUACUGACACUGAGGGACGAAAGCUAGGGGAGCGAAUGGG